rnacentral:rRNA from 1 species
UACGUAGGUGGCAAGCGUUGUUCGGAAUUAUUGGGCGUAAAGGGCGCGUAGGCGGCUUGUUAAGUCGGCUGUGAAAGCCCGGGGCUCAACCCCGGAGAGUCGGCCGAUACUGGCGAGCUAGAGUACGGAAGAGGUAGCUGGAAUUCCCGGUGUAGCGGUGAAAUGCGUAGAUAUCGGGAAGAACACCGGUGGCGAAGGCGGCCCGCUGGGCUGUGGCUGA